AGAAAGAUUAUCAAAAUUAGAUAUACGGAAAGAGAAUGGCAAAAAUGGAAAAGAGAGAUGUUGGAGCUGUUUUGGAAUACUUUCAGA
rnacentral:sRNA from 1 species